AUGAUGAAUGGUGGCAAGCCAGGCAGGUUACACCAGAUGGUGAGAGCGAUGAGGUCGGAGUGAUUCCCAGUAAACGCAGAGUUGAGAAGAAAGAACGAGCCCGAUUAAAAACAGUGAAAUUCAAUUCUAAAACGAGAGAUAAAGGGGUGAGUAUUUGAAAUCUCUACAUUUUUGUAAUUCCUGUUUGAGCUACAUUGUUAAAAUGAA
rnacentral:sRNA from 1 species